rnacentral:rRNA from 1 species
UACGAAGGGGGCAAGCGUUGUUCGGAUUUACUGGGCGUAAAGCGCGUGUAGGCGGCCUAUUAAGUUAGAUGUGAAAGCCCAAGGCUCAACCUUGGAACUGCAUUUAAAACUGGUAGGCUUGAGUAUAGGAGAGGAGAGCGGAAUUUCCAGUGUAGAGGUGAAAUUCGUAGAUAUUGGAAAGAACACCGGUGGCGAAGGCGGCUCUCUGGCCUAAUACUGACGCUGAGGCGCGAAAGCGUGGGGAGCAAACAGG